UACGUAGGAGGCGAGCGUUGUCCGGAGUUACUGGGCGUAAAGGGUGCGCAGGCGGCGUCACGCGUGGAUAGUUGAAAUCUCCUGGCUUACCUGGGAGGGCGGUAUCCAGACGGUGGCGCUUGAGGGUCGGAGAGGGGCGUGGAAUUCCGGGUGGAGCGGUGAAAUGCGUAGAGAUCCGGAGGAACACCGACGGCGUAGGCAGCGCCCCUGGACGACACCUGACGCUGAGGCACGAAAGCUGGGGGGAGCGAAACAGG
rnacentral:rRNA from 1 species